rnacentral:lncRNA from 1 species
UUUCCUCCUUUAAAAUUUUACCUCUCUGAACAACCUGUCCUUCAGAUUAAAUGGGAUUGUGGGAAAAGACAGGAAAGCCCUCCCCCCUUCAUCAAGGUAUUAUGGACCAGCAACUGAGAACCUAUAGAAGCUGUUAGUGACAUAAUGAUUUGGAGAACCCUUCCUCAGAGUCCACCUGAUACACCCUGGGGGCGGGGCAGAACCCAGUCUGAAGGGGACUCAGGGAACCCAAGUGAUAUGACUUGUCUUCAGGAGCCCCAGGCUGCAGGAGACACAUGGCCCUUCUUCAGGAAGCCCCGGUCUGAGGUAGGAAGUAGUUAAUAUGUCACAGGGUUAAUAUUGUUUCGGCGCUGGUGUGGAGCUGUGUAGAGUAGACCCUGGAAUCUGUAUCCACAGGAUGAGACUCCACAAGAAGCUGUUAGGUAUCAGAUGGUGGGGAAAAUUGACAUCCCUGAGGUCUCCCCCUCCCUCAGGUUUCAAAUGCCUAUCAUCUUCUAUCCCAGGCUAUGUCUGACUAACAGGAAGGGCUGCUGGGGUCCAGUUUACCCAUGAAAUACAGGUUAGUCCAAGCUGAAGAAGCAAGCAGUUGGAGGAGUCAAUUGAGGGACCAUGGAAGAUAAGCCAUCUUCCUUAGAGAAGAAACACUCAAGCCAUCUUGGCUAGUAAAGACAUGUGGAUGACAAACUGAGUCUCCCAUGGCCCAGACAGGGCCUAUGUGCAAAGGGGACGUGGUUAGGACCUAGAACUCUUCAGGCAGGAGUCAGGGCUGGCCGGGUGAGAGGCUCUGAGACCCCUGCUCCCUGUCACCCAUAUCCUGGUGACAACUACCGUUUGCAGAUAUGGAAUCUACCCCUCAGACGCUGUUGAGAGGAAAGAUGGUGGUGGUCAUGGACUGAGUGAGGGGCGUUUGCAGCAAUUUGCUGGCCCCAACACACACUCACAGUACUGACCAGCAAUAAAUGUGCAUGAAAUGCUCUCGGAAGUCACCAUGGCUUUCAGGAGAGGAAGUGUCCAGGGAGGGAGGGGCAUAAGCCUGGAACUGCAAGUCUGGCCAGCCAGUCGUGGUGUUUCCGUGACAAGAGGAUAGUCUCUGGGAACCAGAUGGCAAGCUUAGGUUGCCAAUAGGCGUUUACAAACACUGACACUACAAAGACCCUGGUGGCAGAGAAGGAGAAACCGAGGCACUGAGAGCCAAGGGAGACUGAGAGGAUUUGCCACACAGCAUUGAGCAUUGCUAGCCCCUGAAAUCUCUGGACAAGUUUAACCUCCCUUCCAGCAUAGGCUUGUUGUAAGCACAAGAGGAUGCCUAUGAGAUGUGUUCUGCAAGCCUAGUCAGGCCCUGGAUGGAGUCCCAAGCCCAGCCUCGUCCAGGCCCCCAACCCUCUGGUCAGCAAAAGCAAUCCACAUGGGAUGGCCCCCAGACUUGCAGGCGACAGUCACUCAACACUCCAUUAGCUGCUCUCCCGCUGACAGUCCCCAGGCGGGAGGCUCUCUUUCUGGAGAGUGAAAGCGUCCAGGAUGAUGAGCCUCCAGGGACUCUGAGCUCCCUCACGCCAAUUUAACCAGAGCUGAGCGAAGCGAGCAAGCGAGGUGAGGAGCAGAUUAACUCUCAGGAAAACCAUGGCCAGCCCUCACCAGGCAAUGCCACAGAGGCACGAUGAGAUUCUAAAGUUGGACUUGGUCCCCACGGGGACUGCCAAUCCAGAAGAGGAAGGAAAAUGUGUGGGAAAGGGGUCAAAGGACAUAAAUCAACAUGCCUGAAAUGAAUAUGGAUCAGAACAUACUUUAUGCAAACAUAUGUAAAUAGAGAUGUAAAUCUACCCCAGGGUGGGGCAGAUGUGAAAGUCACGGUUCCAGAAAGUCCUCACAAUGGAGCCCUCUGUUCAAGUGCAUCCUUUCC